AUCCAGCUGAAAAGUCCCAAAUAGAAUGAAACGCGCAUUCUGUAU
rnacentral:hammerhead_ribozyme from 1 species